GCUGCUGGUUCACGCAGGAGUGAAUGGCCCACCUGUAAAGUCGGAUGGCCUAAGGAGGGGACUUUCCAUCUCCCCGUCAUUUACAAGGAUGGUCAGCCUCGGCCCCCUGCCUUGCUUCCUCUUUCAACUUCCAAGAAGUCCCUGUUCCUGUUUCUGCUGCCCCUGCUGCUGCUACCUCUGCCUAGCCAGCACAGGCAGAAGAGGGAAGAGCAGCCCCUGACUCUUCUGACUUCACUUGGAGUCCACCUCACACUCUGGCCCCAAUUGCCUAGAUAGUGAGCCGACUCUACCAUGGUCUUACUUCUCCAAUACCGUUUCAGGAUGGGUAGAAGUCUACCCUACAAAGAAGGAGACUCCCAAUGUCCUGGCAAAGCAGCUUCUGGAGGGCCUCAGACCCAGGUGAAACCAGAAUCUGUCUGGAUUCAGAGACACAACCACAAGACUCUGGAACCUGGCAGGAAAGGGCCUCACACUGCCAUCCUGACCACACCUAUGGCUGUUAAGGUGGACCGGAUCUGGAUACACCCCUCUCACCUUAAGUCUGCCAGCUGAGGUCCCCGCGGAGGAGCCUUCCGGGUGAACUACCACACCCUGUCAAUCCGAUUUGUGAAACUGCGACUCCAACACCCCCGAUCCUGCUUGCUUCGCCUCGCCAGUCAGUAGCCCUCCCCCACUUACUAUUUGGGUAUCCACAGAUAGUGCCAUGCAUUGUAUAAAGAUGGGGCUGGGAUUUGAUCUGACCAUCUCCUUAGAAUAUUUUUCAGUGUCUGAGUGCCCAUGGCUUGGCUUUGGGUUGUCUGUAACAACCUUGUCAUCAAGUGACCAAGCCCUCUCAGUCAGUCAACGGGUUCUCCAGCACAGGAGUGAGGAUUGAAAAGAAAGAGACGAUUGAACAACGCUGCAGCAUGAGCCCUUUUUUUUUUUUUUUUUUGAGACAGGGUUUCUCUGUGUAGCCCUGGCUUUCCUGGAACUCACUUUGUAGACCAGGCUGGCCUUGAACUCAGAAAUCGGCCUGCCUCUGCCUCCCGAGUGCUGGGAUUAAAGGCGUGUGCCACCACGCCUGGCUCUGCAGUUAUUUCUUUGUCAUGCUCCAAUGUCAGAUUCCUACCUGAGCUUACUUCCUUAUCAUGGCCAAUGUCAGAUUCUGGUCUGAAACCCAUUUCCCUGUCCUUGGCCAAUGUCAGAUUCCUGCCAAGAGGCACCCCAGAAGGCUUUCUACAGUCAAGUUCACAAAGUGGCUGGCAGGAAGGCUGACCGUGGUGCCAGUUCUUAACUCCUCUUUCCUUGGACUUAACACAGAACGGUUGGUUACCGGACAGGGACUUGUUUCACAGUGGGUAGAGUGGGCAGGAGUCGGGGAAGCAAGCAAUCACCUGGGAACCCUGAAUCAGUGUGGGGUUGUGACGUCAGCAAUGUUUGUAGUUGACUAA
rnacentral:lncRNA from 1 species